rnacentral:rRNA from 1 species
CGCCCGUCGCUCCUACCGAUUGGGUGUGCUGGUGAGAUGUCGGGAUUAGUGGCUGUGGGCGGUUCGCCGCCCUCUGCCGCUGAGAACUUCAUCAAACCCUCCCACCUAGAGGAAGGGGAAGUCGUAACAAGGUUCCU